UUUACAUAUAGAAGAUCAAAAAUUAUAGCUGGAAUUAGUUUUACAGAAUAAUCAAAAUAACAUUAAUGUUUCACUUCUAUAUCCAGGAAGUAUGUGUAUGUAGAUGGAGAAAAAAUUACAAAAUUCAUCUAAGUAUUGACAUUUUUGUUGGUGGUUUUUUUUUUGUGUGUGUUUUUUUUAAUUUUUGUUGUUUUUUGUUUUGUUUUGUUAUGUUUUUCCCUACCAUUAUUUCACUAGAAGAAGGCAGAGAGCAAAUGAAGAAGAAAAGGUUCGAUUCUGACAACAAUCAUGAAAUCCUCUGUGAAGGCACUUCAGAGAGGCAAGACUCUUCCUCAGAACAAAGAUAGAAAGCCAGGAACAGUGGCCAGAGACUACAAUGUUCUUCAGAUGCUGGAGGAAUACUUGCAAUUUUCUCCACUCCAGAAGCACUGCACGAUCUUUGCUGGAAUGAAGUUCUCACUCCAUCAAACAUACUCCAAGACUUCAUAAAAAGAAAUACUUUCCUUCUUCAAACAAUAAGAAAAGUAAUUUCAGUUAAAAAUAUUUCAUAUUAUUCUUCAUGUUGAGAAUGUGAGUGAUUCUAUAUAGACAAUUAUGGAUUUCCGUGUUGAAAAACACAAUAAUUUUCUAUGGCGAAUCUUUGGUCUUUGCACUUGGUCUUUGCCUGGUGCUCACAGAACAAAUUUCAGAAAUAUAAUCCACUAAAUUACAGACUUUUAAAAAUGGCCACAGAAGAAAUUCUACAGAUCCUAGAAGAGAUGGAUAAAUUAGUCAAUCUCUAAUUUCAAGUGAAGAAUUUUGACAACUGUACUUUGUUAUUUUUUUCCCAUCAGUAUCCACAGGCAAAUUGCACACAUAAAAUAUAAAGAACAUGUGUGACUAAAAAACUAAAUACUUUUUUUUUUUUUUGUCCUUAUCAGUCUUGAUGCAGAUCCUAAAAAUCAAGUUUCCAGCAUCAUUUUUAACAUUCAGAAGUAUCCAAGAGUAUUUUAGAGUAUUCUAUCUGCUGCCAGGCAGCUGACACAGCAAAGGAUGUAUGGGAAACCCACUUCUUCAAAGAUUACAGAAAUGAGUGCAUAAUGACAGCUGAUAUGACCCUAGACAACUUUGUACAGCCAAUCAACACUUCUCCUAUUAUGAGGUUAAGAAACAGUAGGUGAGAUUAUGAUAAAACCUUCUGACAGUAUAGCUUAUAUUACAUAUUAAUUUUUUUAUUUAAAUGUAUCUUACCAAGUUGGGAUGUUAUUAGACAAAGUAAGGCCAUUAAG
rnacentral:lncRNA from 1 species